rnacentral:rRNA from 1 species
AUGUACCCGUUCUGGCUGCGCGGCCACCACGCGCCACAAUGCGGCUACCCGACCUUCGGCGUCACGUGCGACGACCCCACCGGCACCAUGCUGCCCAGCCUCAGCGAGUCCUACCUCAGCCUCCUGGACAUCAAUUACGGCAACCGCUCCGUCGUGGCCAUCCACAGCAACCUGGUAAGCGGGGAACCCUGCCCCGCGACGCGGAUCAACGUGUCCAGUAGCCUCAGGCUCUCACAGCUGGCCGUCAGCGGCGCCAACUGGGAGCUCUUCUUCUCCAACAACUGCUCGCGCGCGCCGCCGUCGCCCGCAGGGGCGCUCUGGCUUAACUGCUCUGGCGCCAUCACCGGCACGUGGUCCGUGCACCUCGGGCGGAGGUACGCGGCGGGGCCGGCCGAGUGCCAGUAUUCGGCCAUGCCGGUGCUGCCCGGGUUAGAGCUGAGGUCGUGGGAUGACUACACAGCGAUUGUGAGGCGCGGGUUCCUGCUGGACUGGAUGGUGCCCGGUGACUGCGCCGCAUGCAAGGCGACCGGUGGGCAGUGCCGGUUCGAGGCCGGCACAAAUGUCUUCGGGUGCCUCUGCCCCGGCGGCGACAUGCAACUGGCCAAGUGCGGUGAGUUGCUGGUCAUGAUCCCUAUAUCUGCAUGCGAUAUCGUCACAGCUUUGACAUCAGCAGCUGCAGCACUGCUCUUCCCAUGUAUUUAUGUGUUGAUAUGGUAUAUGACGGGCAAAAGAAACUGGCUAAUCCUCUGGAAAAAGAAGAGCAGUAGCACUGAAAGGCAUUACGAGGCAAUGAUUGUAUUGUAUGGAUCACUUGCUCCAAAAAGAUACACCUACUCAGAGGUAAUGAAGAUGACGUCUUCUCGUCAUAAGCGGCUUGGUCAAGGUGGUUAUGGUGUAGUUUUCGAAGGAAAGCUACAUGAUGGUCGUCUGGUUGCUGUGAAAUUCUUGCAAGACUGCAAAGGAAACGGAGAGGAGUUUGUGAAUGAGGUUAUGAGCAUUGGCAGGACCUCCUAUGUGAAUGUUGUUAGGCGGUUUGGCUUUUGCUUGGAGGGAUCAAAACGAGCUCUUAUAUAUGAGUACAUGUGCAAUGGUUCCCUGGAAAGGUACAUUUACUCAGAGAACCCAAAAGAGAUUUUAGGAUGGGAGAGGCUCUAUGCGAUAGCGAUUGGGAUAGCCCAUGGACUAGAAUAUUUGCACCACAGUUGUAAUACACGGAUUGUCCAUUUUGACAUUAAACCUCAAAAUAUCCUUCUAGACAAAGAUUUUGGCCCAAAGAUUGCCGAUUUCGGUCUUGCUCAGCUGUGUCGUACCAAGGAGAGCAAGCUUUCGAUGGUUGGUGCUAGAGGAACAAUUGGAUUCAUUGUUCCAGAAGUUCACUAA